ACCGCUAGAGUUUGAUCAUGGCUCAGAUUGAACGCUGGCGGCAGGCCUAACACAUGCAAGUCGAGCGGUAACACAAGGGAGCUUGCUCCUGAGGUGACGAGCGGCGGACGGGUGAGUAAUGCCUAGGUAUCUGCCCAGUCGAGGGGGAUAACAGUUGGAAACGACUGCUAAUACCGCAUACGCCCUACGGGGGAAAGGAGGGGACCUUCGGGCCUUUCGCGAUUGGAUGAACCUAGGUGGGAUUAGCUAGUAGGUGGGGUAAUGGCUCACCUAGGCGACGAUCCCUAGCUGGUCUGAGAGGAUGAUCAGCCACACUGGAACUGAGACACGGUCCAGACUCCUACGGGAGGCAGCAGUGGGGAAUAUUGCACAAUGGGCGAAAGCCUGAUGCAGCCAUGCCGCGUGUAUGAAGAAGGCCUUCGGGUUGUAAAGUACUUUCAGCGAGGAGGAAAGCUCAAUUGUUAAUAGCAGUUGGGUGUGACGUUACUCGCAGAAGAAGCACCGGCUAACUUCGUGCCAGCAGCCGCGGUAAUACGAGGGGUGCAAGCGUUAAUCGGAAUUACUGGGCGUAAAGCGUACGCAGGCGGUUUGUUAAGCGAGAUGUGAAAGCCCCGGGCUCAACCUGGGAACUGCAUUUCGAACUGGCAAACUAGAGUCUUGUAGAGGGGGGUAGAAUUUCAGGUGUAGCGGUGAAAUGCGUAGAGAUCUGAAGGAAUACCGGUGGCGAAGGCGGCCCCCUGGACAAAGACUGACGCUCAGUACGAAAGCGUGGGACAAAACAGGAUAGUCCACGCCGUAAACGAUGUCUACUCGGAAUUUGGUGUCUUGAACACUGGGUUCUCAAGCUAACGCAUUAAGUAGACCGCCUGGGGAGUACGGCCGCAAGGUUAAAACUCAAAUGAAUUGACGGGGGCCCGCACAAGCGGUGGAGCAUGUGGUUUAAUUCGAUGCAACGCGAAGAACCUUACCUACUCUUGACAUCCAGAGAAUUCGCUAGAGAUAGCUUAGUGCCUUCGGGAACUCUGAG
rnacentral:rRNA from 1 species